CUUCUCCAUGCUAUCUUAUCAUUGAGUACGCUUGUUGUCACUCUAAGCUUCUGUUUUCAUCACGUAGCUCUCAUGCAAUGCAACUGAGCACCAAACUAGUUGGAUUCAUCUUGCUUGUUCUGAACUUUAUUUAGGUCAAUACUCUGUGAGAUUGCUGGCACAGACUUGAUUACAACUCCCUUUUCUUUAGGAACACAAUGUUGUACCCUUCAGGUGUAUGCCAUUUUGUCUCUGUGAUUGAUGCUGGCUAUCCUUGUAUCAGCUUUACUAAUAAUACCCUAGGUUUCCUGCCAAAACUUGUAUUGUAGAAGAUGAGCUCAAGCUGAUGAGCAAGAAACACAGAGAGAUUCCUAUGUUCAUGAACUCUCAAACCAUGGCAGAAACCCCACUCAUGUCUGGAAGUAGAAAUGCUGGAGUGCACUAUGAUUGGGUGAUUUUGAGCUCAGUAUACAAACAAUUGCCUCCAAUUUAAUCCACCAGUCAGCCAAGCUUUCAUAUAGACAAUACUGGACACACAGUUGAUCCGGAAGCUGGAAAACCUCAUCCAGUGACUCUCGAUCAAGCAAAAAUGAAUGAAUCCCAAACAGGGGAAGUCUUCAUCAAGAUUGGACCUUACGGAACUGCGAACGGCGAUGAAUGGGAUGAUGGGUGCCUUGAUGGAGUAAGAGAGAUCUUCAUAUGGCAUGACUCAAAAGCAUGUUCACUUCAGUUUGUGUAUGAUUCUGAUGGACAAUCGGUGUUGUCGGACAAGCAUGGAGAUGAAGAUGGAGUGAAUUUUGACACGAUUGAACUGGAAUACCCUUCGGAGUAUCUGACAGGCCUACGCGGUCAGACCCGGAGAUUCCAUGGAUUUUUGACUUCCCUCAUGUUCUUCAGCAACAAAAGAAGUUUUGGGCCCUUUGGAUACUGGGAUAAUGACAGAGAAGCUGACUUCCAAUGGAAGGUGAUGGGCAACAAAAUUUGUGGGUUUUUUGGGCGAGCUCAACCCUCUUCCCUCACUGCUGUGGGCAUUCAUCUCAGAGCCCUGCCCAAAACUUCAUGAAUGAAUGAAGCUGAUGAGAUCUGUAGGAGUUGGUGUGAAGACCAUCAGUGCGACAGCUUCACUUCGUGUCAGUUUCGUCUCACACUCGUGUGCCUGACUACAUGGUGUUCUGUUCUUUCAACUCAGUUUGCUGGUGUUCAAGUUCAGAAUCUUUAUCAUAAACUAUUAAAAGCUUUUACCAAAUAAGUUAAUGGAUACCUUAGACA